rnacentral:rRNA from 1 species
CGACGUAGGUAACCUGCCUGGUAGCGGGGGAUAACUAUUGGAAACGAUAGCUAAUACCGCAUAAUAUUAAUUAUUGCAUGAUAAUUAACUGAAAGGUGCAAUUGCACCACUACCAGAUGGACCUGCGUUGUAUUAGCUAGUAGGUGAGGUAACGGCUCACCUAGGCGACGAUACAUAGCCGACCUGAGAGGGUGAUCGGCCACACUGGGACUGAGACACGGCCCAG